rnacentral:misc_RNA from 1 species
UGUAUAUAGGUGGUUUGAGUUUGAAACUGCUUUCAUACUUAUACCGUGUAUGGAUAUAUGGACAUGUGUUGGCUCUAGUGUUAUUAAAGGCGUGAGAGGCGCCCAGGCGAGGCGCAAGGGGAGGUGCAAGGCGAGGCGAGGCGCCCCUCUGCUGCCUCGACUGGGUCGCCCCUCUUGGCACCAGUAGAGUUGACGCCUCAGGUAGGCGAGGCGAGGCGAGGCACGAGGCAGGCAAGAGGUGUCGCCUCUUUCAAGCGCACUAGAACCCCU